CCUUCACUCCCUUCCCCACCCUCCUUUUCUCUCUCUCUCUCUCUCUCUCUCUCUCUCUCUCUCACACACACACAUAUGUAACAUAACCACCAGACACCACCACCGGAAAAGAUGAAGGCCGCCACCACCAUCUUCAAAGAUUGACGCCACCACCAAAAAGCAUCGAUUUUCGUCGAAGACAAUCGAACUCUCAAUUUUUUGGUGAUCUGUAAACACUCCCCUUCUUCAGAUCUAGAUUGUCAUCGUUGUCUUCAGUUUUUAGAAAACGAUCUACAAUGUUGUUGUCGAUUUGGAACAUCGCCGCCACCAUUUAUCUUCUCCAGUUGCGUCGUCAUCAUAUCUGUUCAAGAAAGAGAUUGGCGACAUAUAAAAACCAUUGAUGCUCAUCAGAGUUGUUCAUCAAUGGAUGAAGAUUCGUCAAGAAAAUGAGAUUAAGGGCAUUGUUGAUUUCGGAAUUGAUGAUGAUGAAGGUUUUGUUUGAGGAAAACAUGGUGGAAAUCGAAGGUAGAGGAAGGUGGUUUUUUUCCUUUCACUUCUAAAAUUCAUUUUGCUUAAUUUGAGAAUGGUGGUGAUUUCUAACGGAGGCGACAAGAUCGAAGAUUGGAGACCAUAUGUUGAAGAUAUACCAUGAUACUAAAGGGUGUGGUUGAGGUGGGUUUUCUGGUGAUAGAUCUGAAAACCGAGACAUAUAUGGAGAAGAUAAACUGAGAAGGGGUGGUGCUGUAAACCAAUCAUGACUAUGAUGGAGAACACAAACAGAUCUGGAAACAGAUGGAGAAGACGAACAUCUCAAAACACAGAUGGAGAAGACUAAGGGGUCGUUUGUUUACCCCUUAACUGAAAAAUUAAGAGGCAAUCUCUUAAAAUUUCAGAUAUGAUGUGUUUGGUAGUCUCUUAUUUUUUGUCUCUUAAAUUAAAAAAAAGCCUCUUAAUUUAUCAGACUUGAGGUUGUAUCUGAAAAAAAUAAAGCACGUGUGUUUCCAGUUUUGCCCAAAAACAUAUUUACUCUUCCCUGUUCUAUUUCAUGAGGCGACUUCUUUCUCCCUCCCAACAAUCUUCGACGACCUGCUACCCUCCGCUAUUGCUUUAACCACCGUCCGGUCACCGCCUCCACCUCCACCAGAGUUGUCGCCUGUGCCGCCCUCCACCCCCUCAAACUCGUCGACAACAACAUCAGGUAAUAGCUCUCUGAAACCUAUUUGUCUAUCUAAAAUCGAUUAUAGGGUUAAUUUCUGAAACCAAUUUCUGAAAUCGAUUUCUAGGGUUUAUUUCUGAAACCUGUUUGUGCAUCAAAUAAUGGUUCUCGGUGUGCUCUUGUUGCUGGGCUUUUAUGUUUUUUAUUAUGAUGUUGUUUUCGGUAUUAAUCUUUUUUCAUCUGAUGGUAUUGAAGAUUUAAAGUCAGCUGUAUUAUUUAUUAUAGGUAGAUUUGUGUUCGUUUGCAGUUUGAUCAGUUUUUUUCCUCAUAAACUUGAUUAGUUCUCUUGUAUUUGAAAUUAGAAGCUAGUUAUCCAUGGUUAUUCAUCGUUACCAUCAUUGCUCUUGUUAUUUAAGGAAGAUAAUCCCCUUCCAAGAGCAAUCAACAGUUGAAAAGAUAUCGGGACUAUACUGCAAUGACUUCAAAUGAUAAUGGUGGAGUUGGAGAAGAAAAAUCAAACUGAUGUAGAGUCAAACAUAUUGUGAAUCUUUAUUGACAUUUUUGUCCCUGGUGUAUAUUUGAAGGUUAUGGAGAUAUCACUCAUGUGGAACACACAAAAACAUGGUUGUAUACAUGUAAUGUAAGCAUAUAAGCAUAUAGCUGAGGCUAUUUUUGUAAGCUUGUUUAAAAGUGUGUUUAUAGUAAUAUACUUUUAUUGAUUUAUAGUAAUGUGAUUCUAUUUUGUUAUAGCAAUGUUAUCCAAAACAAAGCAAUUUCGAUU